CACAUCCCGUCAAACGAGUCUGCUUCAGGACAGAUUGUCAACAGAGUUUGGUUGUCUUUUUUUUUCCUUUCAUGUUGGAGGAAUGUCACUCGGCCAGUGCGAGUGAGCGUCAUGAAACUUUGCUGCAGUGAAAAGAUGCAGACGAGAAAAACACAACAAUAGAAGAGGUUGGGCAACAUUCCAAACUGAACAACAUGUCAUCAUCAUCAUCGCCGACUCUGGCCAUGAAACAGGGAGUCGCCGGAUGAAGACGGUCGGUCACACAGGCCGGAAUACGGCGCAACCUCGAAAUACGAACGAUGGAUAAGCAGUGGUUGCUUCCCGAUGUAUUUUUUGCCACAUUAAAAUGAAACUUAAUCA